rnacentral:rRNA from 1 species
UACGAAGGGGGCUAGCGUUGCUCGGAAUCGCUGGGCGUAAAGGGUGCGUAGGCGGGUCUUUAAGUCAGGGGUGAAAUCCUGGAGCUCAACUCCAGAACUGCCUUUGAUACUGAAGAUCUUGAGUUCGGGAGAGGUGAGUGGAACUGCGAGUGUAGAGGUGAAAUUCGUAGAUAUUCGCAAGAACACCAGUGGCGAAGGCGGCUCACUGGCCCGAUACUGACGCUGAGGCACGAAAGCGUGGGGAGCAAACAGG